UGAGAUUUGAAAUAAUCAAUAUUAUUUGUCUUUAGGCGUCAAAUUUUAGAUUUUGGGGCUAGCUACUUAACUUUUGUACUUAGCUUAGCUGGACAAGUAGAUAGAGUUACUUGGUCUACAAUAAGUUCUUCAUGCCUCAACCUGCAGCCAGCAGAUUUUAGUUUCUGCUACACCAGUGUCCUUUAUACUGGUAUCAACAUAAUUUGGUCAAGUGGAGACACGUGUUGGACAUGUGGUUGGUCAGUGUAGGAUUGCUAUUCGAGCCGAGGAUAGAAAAGGACCCAGAGAAAAUGGAAACUGGGAUUUAGUCCUCUACGUGAACAGUGACGCCUUGACUUUUCCCAUUUCCUCUUCUUGUCUGUCCAGACGUAUGUGUUGAGUCCAGGUCAUGUUCAAGAGAGGACACUGCAUGUAGGGAGACCAUCAUGCUGCCAAGUUUACCAAUCUUCCCUUAGCCAGGGGAUCUCAACUCAUCUUCCCCACAUCCAGGGCCAGAGGUCCUCCCUCAGCGGCAAAAUCCGGGUCUGAAAAAUGAAACCAAUGCAGAAGUGCCAAAAAAUGCAGGUAAUUGAGUGGCUGCUUGAGAUUCUCCAAAGACCUCCCAUGUUAAAAUGCCUGACUGCCUAUGGCAGAAAUAAACAGGUUUACAGGCUGGUACAAAAUAUGGUUUUGGUCUCUAUAGCUGAUUUCCCCCUUCAUGAAAACUGCGAGGGGUGAAUUUUUAUACUACUUAGCCGUUUAAAUUAUAUUAAGGCUGUGGCUCAGGA